rnacentral:rRNA from 1 species
UGAGGAAUAUUGCGCAAUGGGGGAAACCCUGACGCAGCGAUGCCGCGUGGGUGAAGAAGGCCUUCGGGUCGUAAAGCCCUGUCAAACGGGAAGAACAGUCUGGAGACGAAUAAUCUUCAGGCCUGACGGUACCGUUGAAGGAAGCACCGGCUAACUCCGUGCCAGCAGCCGCGGUAAGACGGAGGGUGCAAGCGUUAUUCGGAUUUAUUGGGCGUAAAGAGCAUGUAGGCGGUCGGUCAAGUCUGAUGUGAAAUCCCGGGGCUUAACCUCGGAAGGGCGUUGGAAACUGGUCGACUUGAGUUCGGGAGAGGAAAGCGGAAUUCCGGGUGUAGAGGUGAAAUUCGUAGAUAUCCGGAGGAACACCGGUGGCGAAGGCGGCUUUCUGGACCGAAACUGACGCUGAGAUGCGAAAGCGUGGGGAGCAAACAGG